ensembl:lncRNA novel transcript
CAGACGGAGUCUCGCUCUGUCGCCCAGGCUGGAGCGCAGUGGUGCGAUCUCGGCUCACUGCAAGCUCUGCCUCCUGGGUUCAUGCCAUUCUCCUGCCUCAGCCUCCUGAGUAGCUGGGACUACAGGCCCCAGAUGAAUCUUUGUACAACAAAGUUGAGAAUCAUAGCCCUGGCGUUCAGAAGACAGGAAAUGGUUUCUCUGGAUCAGUUCUUUGCUCUUUGAAACGAGAUGAUCCAUCUCACACUGAAAGUUUCCUAUCGUGAGGUUCAGUGUCAUCUAGAGUCAACGGAUGAAGUAUAAGUGUUCACUGUGGAAUUUCUACAACACAAAAAGAAGAGGCUGGAUAAAGAAGAUAAACUGAAUAUUGAAACUGUUCCUUUUCCAUUAAAAAAUAGCAAAAAAAGUUUUCCCUGUAA